rnacentral:lncRNA from 1 species
AUCCACAACCUAUCAAUUUUGAAGAAACUAAUAUUUAAUAAGGUUAAUUUCAUACAGCUUCUGGUAAAUAUUUUCAAUAACAAAUAUAUUUCUAUAAAAUUUAACUUUUCAUCUUUAUUGCUACAAAAGUUCAGUAAUACUCAUAUUUGUCUUUUUAGUUUGUUAUCGUUAGAGCACUGUUAAUUUUUUAAUGGAUGAUAAGUGAUAUAAUAUUUUUGCUAUUGCAAAUAUGCUCUUUCAAAAAUCCCAACUUUAGAAUUAUGUAGAAAUGCCCUUCUAAAAAUUUUCAACCAUUAUUUUUUUCUUUUCUAUCAUCAUAAAUAAUAUAAGAGGGGUAAAGAGGUCAAUUUAUCUCAUUCACUAAUUAGAAUUAACUUUUUUAUCCAUGAUUAAUUAUAUUUUUCUAACAAAUCCUAAUAGAAGAGAUAUAUAUUUGAAAACAUUAAGACUUUUGUAGGAAUAAAUAUGAAAAGUUAAACUUUGUAGAAAUAUACCUGCUAUUUAAUAUAUUUACAAAAAUUUAUAUGCAAUUAAUCCUGUCUAAUAUAAACAAAAAAUCGUAUCUCUUCAGAUGUUAGAAAUUUA